rnacentral:rRNA from 1 species
UACGGAGGGGGCAAGCGUUGUCCGGACUCACUGGGCGUAAAGGGUGCGUAGGUGGCUUGCCACGUCGGUGCUGAAAGCGCCCGGCUCAACCGGGCGAGGCGUGCCGAUACGAGCGAGCUCGAGCCUCGGAGAGGGCGGUGGAACUCCUGGUGUAGUGGUGAAAUGCGUAGAGAUCAGGAAGAACACCCGUAGCGCAAGCGACCGCCUGGCCGAGUGCUGACACUGAGGCACGAGAGCGUGGGGAGCGAACCGG